CAAACUAGAGGUAAAUUUUUGUUAAAAAUUUUAUUGGAUCUCCCCUUCUUUUGAAAGUUUAACUCUAGCUAAAUAUAUAAAUUUAUCUUGUUGUAUAUAAGAUCUUAGAAUAAAAAUUUAUCUACUUAGUGCAAAAAAUUUUAGUAAAAUUAAUUUAAAAAAGCAAAAUAUGAUCAAUUAGGUGCCAGCAUUCGCGGUUACACCUAUUUAUAGUAUAUUUAAAUAGGUAGAGGACAAAAUAAUAGAAUAUAAAACUUUAGAUGUAAAAUUCUUCCAUUUUUAUAAAAUCACCUGACCUCAAAAGUUAACUAAUAAACAGGGAUUAGAUACCCCUCUAUAUAAAAUAAUUUCUAACCAGGGGUAGUAAUAGAUACAGCCUUCAAACCCAAAGAAUUUGGCGGCAGUUAAUCUUUUUAGAGAGGUCUGUAUAUUAAUUUGACAAUCCACUUUAUAUCUUUCUCUCUUUAAAUUUGUAUACCGUCAUCUAAAUCUUACUUUAAAGUAAGUAUUUACAAAGGAAACAAAAAUGUUAGAUCAACGCGCAGUGUACAGGAGAGCUCUUUAUGGAUCUCAAUUUAUACUAAAUAGAAAAAUAUCUAACACUUUUUAGAAAGAGGAUUUAAAUGUAAUAAAAUUUCAAAAUAAUUCUAUGACUAAGCCAUUAGCUGUGUACAUAUCGCCCGUCGCUCUCGAUCCGAGAUAAGUCGUAACAAAGUAGAAGUACUAGAAAGUGCUUCUUUACUUAU
rnacentral:rRNA from 1 species